rnacentral:rRNA from 1 species
CCUACGGGAGGCAGCAGUGAGGAAUAUUGGUCAAUGGCCGGAAGGCUGAACCAGCCAAGCAGCGUGAAGUCCGCAGGUGCCAAGCAUUGUAAACUUCUUUUGUCAAGGGACAAAAUCAGGCUCGAGAGCCUGACCGAGGGUACUUGAAGAAAAAGCAUCGGCUCACUCCGUGCCAGCAGCCGCGGUACUACGGAGGAUGCGAGCGUUAUCCGGAUUUAUGGGGUUUAAAGGGUGCGUAGGCGGGCUGUUAAGUCAGCGGUAAAAGCCCGGGGCUCAACCCCGGCGAGCCGUUGAAACUGGCUGUCUUGAGAUGUCGAGAGGUAUGCGGAAUGCGCAGUGUAGCGGUGAAAUGCUUAGAUAUUGCGCAGAACUCCGAUUGCGAAGGCAGCAUACCGGCGGCGAUCUGACGCUGAGGCACGAAAGCGUGGGUAUCGAACAGGAUUAGAUACCCUUGUAGUC